AGGGAUUGAACCUAUGUAUCCUGCAAUGGCAGGUGGGUUUUUUGUUUUUUGUUUUUUUACCACUGAGCCACCAGGGAAGCCCUGCAGAGAGAGGUUUUGAUUCUUCCUCUCUGUCAUGUUGGAGAAACCAUCACCAGUUCCCUUGUGGCACUUCUGUUGUGGGCAGAUAAUCCCUCAGACUUCAGACCACUCACUCCAACUGGAGCAGAAUACAGACUGCUCAUAUCAGGUACAUCAGACUGCAGGUACAUCACUUUGGAUUUAUUUAAAUGGCCAGAGAGUACCCUCCUUUGAUGAGACGAUGGGGUAUAAUUGUUGCUUUAAACAGUUGAUACAGCCAUUUUCAGAUAUGACUUAGGUGUCAUGUUUCUUUUAGGUGGAGACAAUUUGUGCUUCCAACCAAAUGCAUUCUUGAAUCUAGUUAUACAUGUUUGUAUCAGAUCUUAUCGAAAUAGAGUACAGAUCGCAGAGGCAUCCCCAUCAUCCAAUAGAAAUAAUGUUUGUAACAUAAUUGUUAAGGAAGCAAGACAUGAGAAAACAAGUCCAGUGUGAACCCACUUAAAUGCUGUGUCAAAGAUCUAGAUCUGAAAAUAGAAAUACCAGCAAGGCCCUGAGGAGUAGGAUUAGCUGUGCAGUUCUGUGGGCAGGAGAGAAGCAAAGGAAGGUGGCUCUAUCCACUGCGUGUCUUGAGGGAGAAGGAAGGUGAACAUCCUGUGCAGAAUGUCUGUUUACAAGAGGCAGGCCAAUGGUAGGGAAGGGACGUCAGCAGUGUACUAUGCAAGGGUGUGCCCCCAGCCCCUCGACCAACCCAAGCCAUGGUUGGGUUCCCUGGCCCUUCCUUUACCUUAUGGUUCAGAACCACAGCCUGAGUGCUCCUCACAGACCAAGCUUGGUGGGUGCUUGGUGAACCAAUCACUGAUGAAAAAGAGCAGAGAAGUCAAAAGCAAUUUUCUUCUGUUUUCCAUUGUCAACCAACAAAACGAAGAAAAGAGUGUAUUUGGCAUUAUAAGAAUUGCAAUUUGGAGCUUUAGUCAUGGUCCAGUGGUUAAGAAUCUGCCUUGCAAUACAAGGGACACGUGUUUGACCCCUGGACCAGGAAUAUCCCACACGUUUCAGAGCAAGGACGCCCAUGUGCCACAACUACUGAGCCCACAUUCUGCAACUCCUGAAGUCCACACACACCCUAGAGCCCAUGCCCUCCCACAAGAGAAGCCACCACAAUGCGAAGCCCAUGCAUUACCACAAAGAGUAGCUCCCACUCACCCCACCGCAACUAGAGAAAGCCCAUGUGCAGCAAUAAAGACCCAGUGCAGGCCCCCAAAAUAAAUAAAUAAAUAAAUCUUAAAGAAGUUACAGUUCAGAAGACACAGAUUUGAGUAUAAUGGAAAGAGUGUUCCAGGGAAGAGAAUCAGGGGCUUAUGAAGACAAAUGCCAUGAGGCUAUAUUCUGACACAAGAAAGGAAAUAGUUGUCCUUUAGGGAUGAUGGUCGCGAGUUGUUUUAGGGUAAGGGUCUGAUAGAUAGGCUGUCAUGAGUUAUAUUUGGGUAAGGGUAAUAAGCAUUGAGUUUCUGGCAGAUGUUUUGAAUGCCUUCAUUAGGAUAGUGAGUGGUCAGAAGGUCAGACUUCACUGCCAUGCUGUGCUUAGUCACUCAGUGGUGUCUGAUUCUCUGUGACCCCAUGGACUACAGCCUGCCAGGCUCCUCUGUCCAUGGGGAUUCUCUAGGCAAGAACACUGGAGUGGGUUGCCAUUUCCUUCUCCAGGGGAUCUUCCCAACCCAGGGAUUGAGCCCGGGUCUCCCACAUUGCAGAAGGAGUCUUUACUGUCCGAGCCACUAGGGAAGCCCUUGGAGUCCAGAAGAUAUAGACACUAUAGACAGAUAAGGGGAUC
ensembl:lncRNA